CAUCAUUGGUGGUGGCACUUCCUUCGCGGGUAGUGGAUGCGUCUGUGCGCUUGUUAUAAAGCAAAUUAGAAAACAGAAAUUCAUUCAAAACCCGCUUAUGAAGCGGGUUUUGCUGU
rfam:Idiomarina sp. A28L contig00010, whole genome shotgun sequence.